UACGUAGGGCGCAAGCGUUGUCCGGAAUUAUUGGGCGUAAAGAGCUCGUAGGCGGUUUGUCGCGUCUGCUGUGAAAACCUAAGGCUCAACCUUGGGCUUGCAGUGGGUACGGGCAGACUAGAGUGCGGUAGGGGUGACUGGAAUUCCUGGUGUAGCGGUGGAAUGCGCAGAUAUCAGGAGGAACACCGAUCGGCGAAGGCAGGUCACUGGGCCGCAACUGACGCUGAGGAGCGAAAGCAUGGGGAGCGAACAGG
rnacentral:rRNA from 1 species